UACGGAGGGGGCUAGCGUUGUUCGGAAUUACUGGGCGUAAAGCGCGCGUAGGCGGCUUAGCAAGUUAGAGGUGAAAGCCCGAAGCUCAACUUCGGAAUUGCCUUUAAAACUGCAAAGCUAGAAUCAUGGAGAGGUGAGUGGAAUUCCGAGUGUAGAGGUGAAAUUCGUAGAUAUUCGCAAGAACACCAGUGGCGAAGGCGGCUCACUGGCCCGGUACUGACGCUGAGGUGCGAAAGCGUGGGGAGCAAACAGG
rnacentral:rRNA from 1 species